rnacentral:rRNA from 1 species
CCUACGGGAGGCAGCAGUGAGGAAUAUUGGUCAAUGGACGCAAGUCUGAACCAGCCAUGCCGCGUGCAGGAAGACGGCUCUAUGAGUUGUAAACUGCUUUUGUACGAGGAUAAACGCAGAUACGCGUAUCUGUCUGAAAGUAUCUUACGAAUAAGGAUCGGCUAACUCCGUGCCAGCAGCCGCGGUAAUACGGAGGAUUCAAGCGUUAUCCGGAUUUAUUGGGUUUAAAGGGUGCGUAGGCGGUCGGAUAAGUUAGCGGUGAAAUCCCGAGGCUCAACCUCGGGAUUGCCUUUGAUACUGUUAGGCUAGAGAGUAGUUGAGGUAGGCGGAAUGUGUGGUGUAGCGGUGAAAUGCUUAGAGAUCACACAGAACACCGAUUGCGAAGGCAGCUUACCAAGCUACUUCUGACGUUGAGGCACGAAAGCGUGGGGAGCAAACAGGAUUAGAUACCCUAGUAGUC